rnacentral:rRNA from 1 species
CCUUGGUAAUUAAUAAAAGGGGAAACACCUGUUCCCAUUCCGAAUACAGCAGUUAAGUCCUUUUAACCUGAAGAUAGUUUUUGAUUUUAAAAGCAAAAAUAAGAUUUGCCAAGGU